rnacentral:rRNA from 1 species
CUUGCACUGGUCAAUCUAGUGGCGAACGGGUGAGUAACACGUGGGUAACCUGCCCAUCAGAGGGGGAUAACAUUCGGAAACGGAUGCUAAAACCGCAUAGGUCCUUUAACCGCAUGGUUGAAGGAGGAAAAGAGGCGCAAGCUUCUGCUGAUGGAUGGACCCGCGGUGCAUUAGCUAGUUGGUGAGGUAACGGCUCACCAAGGCCGUGAUGCAUAGCCGACCUGAGAGGGUGAUCGGCCACAUUGGGACUGAGACACGGCCCAAACUCC